AUUACAGGUGAUGUCGCUGGUCCUAGUGGGAUGGUUCGUGAGGAGCACGCCUAGUGGUCGACAGAGCCACCGUCCCGUUGUCGAGCCUUCGGCACCGGCGGAGGCACGGGAUCGCAGCAAGGGUGUCGCCUAGCUUGAUAGAUAGCAGAGCUCGCUUUUACUCCUAGGUGGUUACUCUCUUUUUGUGUUUUUGUGAGAGAGAUUUUGUACCAUGUAUAAAGACCACCUAUGUACCUUGUUUAGCUCUUGAUUUUUGGACUCCUAUUGUAUUACUUUAUGUUUUUACAUAGUGGAUUUAGCCUUAUGUUCCUUUCC